GGUCUCUUAGCUCAGUUGGUUAGAGCGUGGUGCUAAUAACGCCAAGGUCACAGGUUCGACCCCUGUAGGGACCA
rnacentral:tRNA from 1 species